UUUCCAUUCCAUCUCCAGGCUAUAGAAUCUUCAUUUGCAGUUCUGUUUCUGGAACUUUACUGAUUUAUCUUCCUUCUCAAUAUAGGCAUUUGUUUCCUGCAUUUCUGAAGAUCUCAUUCCUGGACCAGUGUUGAGGAAGCCACCCGUGAGGCCAACAAGCAGAGAGCUGGAUCAGAAGUGGAGCAGUCAAGACUGGAACUGGUGCUCUUAUGGAAUGCCAGGGUGGACGAUUAGACUGCUGACUGCCACCAUGCCAGCACCUGGGGGACAUCAUAUACCCAACCCAUAUUACCAUCAUAAUGAAUUUUAUUUUUCAACUAGGUUUCUUUAUUAUUUCUUUUCUUUUCUUUUUUUUUGGGGGGGGGAUUAGGCAUUUAUUUUUUAAUGAAAGAUCAGUGGGUAGCUGUUUUAAUGUUACUGCCCUUGACUUUAAUUGUGUGAGCCAGAAUCAGAAAAUGAUCAAUAGACCAUCAUAUUUUAAAAGUCAUUUUGGUUAAAUAUAAAAGCCCAGUUUCAAAAUUUGUUAGGCUGGCAAAGCCUUUGAGAAACCUAUGGCAUUCUAUGUCAGGCAAAAUAGCAGAAAUUUUCCAAUGACAGUGAACAUUUUUAGUUGCUUCAAGGAGGGUACAAAUGUAGAUUAUAGGUAUAGCUGGCAUUCUGGAAACAACUGAAGAAGAAAAAGAUUGAGUUUAGAAGGAGGAAAAUACAUGUCACAACAUGCUAGUCAAUAAAUGCUUUGACUCUUAUUAGGGAGUAGAUUAAAGUCCAGCAAAAGGACAGUCAUAUGGGCACUGAAGAUUGAAAGGAUAUUGUUUCAUAUCAAGGGAAAAAUGUUCAUGAAUAUUGAGUAGAGAACAGUUAAAUUGAUAAGGAUCUCCGUUCUCUCAUGGAACUCUGCUACCAUGGCAUUUCUCAGCUUAAAGUGAGAAGCUUCAAUCUGUGUUAUGUAUCUGCUAAGUCAGUGAUAGUAAAUUUCGGAUGAGUCAGGAAUCAACAUGCAGACCUCAGGGACAGGUGUAGCCAUCUGAAAAAUGCAAAGUAGGACCAUGAAGUUAAAGAUUUCUAAGUCUAUACUUUUAGGAACUCCGGAAAUUUUCUCUUCCCAGACAUCCUUCCACCACAACUACUCCAGACUCAACUCAGUUACAUGAACAUGUGUGAUCUUCUUCAGGUAGCACUUAGCUUUUGCCAUAAUGAUGCACUCAGUCAUUAAGUCCUUGCUUGGAGGACAAGAGGAGGCUAG